rnacentral:tRNA from 1 species
UGCGGGUAUCGUAUAAUGGCUAUUACCUCAGCCUUCCAAGCUGAUGAUGCGGGUUCGAUUCCGCUACCGCUCC